UGGGGAAUAUUGGACAAUGGGCGCAAGCCUGAUCCAGCCAUGCCGCGUGAGUGAUGAAGGCCCUAGGGUUGUAAAGCUCUUUCACCGAUGAAGAUAAUGACGGUAGUCGGAGAAGAAGCCCCGGCUAACUUCGUGCCAGCAGCCGCGGUAAUACGAAGGGGGCUAGCGAUGUUCGGAAUUACUGGGCGUAAAGCGCACGUAGGCGGAUAUUUAAGUCAGGGGUGAAAUCCCGGGGCUCAACCCCGGAACUGCCUUUGAUACUGGGUAUCUUGAGUAUGGAAGAGGUAAGUGGAAUUCCGAGUGUAGAGGUGAAAUUCGUAGAUAUUCGGAGGAACACCAGUGGCGAAGGCGGCUUACUGGUCCAUUACUGACGCUGAGGUGCGAAAGCGUGGGGAGCAAACA
rnacentral:rRNA from 1 species